UACGUAGGGGGCAAGCGUUGUCCGGAAUCAUUGGGCGUAAAGAGCGUGUAGGCGGCCAGAUAAGUCCGCUGUGAAAUCUCGAGGCUCAACUUCGAGCUGUCGGUGGAAACUGUCUGGCUAGAGUCCGGAAGAGGAGAAUGGAAUUCCUGGUGUAGCGGUGAAAUGCGCAGAUAUCAGGAAGAACACCCGUGGCGAAGGCGGUUCUCUGGGACGGUACUGACGCCGAGACGCGAAAGCGUGGGGAGCGAACAGG
rnacentral:rRNA from 1 species